GCUUGCUUUCUUUGCUGACGAGCGGCGGACGGGUGAGUAAUGCCUGGGAAAUUGCCCUGAUGUGGGGGAUAACCAUUGGAAACGAUGGCUAAUACCGCAUGAUGCCUACGGGCCAAAGAGGGGGACCUUCGGGCCUCUCGCGUCAGGAUAUGCCCAGGUGGGAUUAGCUAGUUGGUGAGGUAAUGGCUCACCAAGGCGACGAUCCCUAGCUGGUCUGAGAGGAUGAUCAGCCACACUGGAACUGAGACACGGUCCAGACUCCUACGGGAGGCAGCAGUGGGGAAUAUUGCACAAUGGGCGCAAGCCUGAUGCAGCCAUGCCGCGUGUAUGAAGAAGGCCUUCGGGUUGUAAAGUACUUUCAGUCGUGAGGAAGGGGGUAUCGUUAAUAGCGGUAUUCUUUGACGUUAGCGACAGAAGAAGCACCGGCUAACUCCGUGCCAGCAGCCGCGGUAAUACGGAGGGUGCGAGCGUUAAUCGGAAUUACUGGGCGUAAAGCGCAUGCAGGUGGUUUGUUAAGUCAGAUGUGAAAGCCCGGGGCUCAACCUCGGAGUUGCAUUUGAAACUGGCAGGCUAGAGUACUGUAGAGGGGGGUAGAAUUUCAGGUGUAGCGGUGAAAUGCGUAGAGAUCUGAAGGAAUACCGGUGGCGAAGGCGGCCCCCUGGACAGAUACUGACACUCAGAUGCGAAAGCGUGGGGAGCAAACAGGAUUAGAUACCCUGGUAGUCCACGCUGUAAACGAUGUCUACUUGGAGGUUGUGGCCUUGAGCCGUGGCUUUCGGAGCUAACGCGUUAAGUAGACCGCCUGGGGAGUACGGUCGCAAGAUUAAAACUCAAAUGAAUUGACGGGGGCCCGCACAAGCGGUGGAGCAUGUGGUUUAAUUCGAUGCAACGCGAAGAACCUUACCUACUCUUGACAUCUACAGGAUCCUGCGGAGACGCGGGAGUGCCUUCGGGAACUGUAAGACAGGUGCUGCAUGGCUGUCGUCAGCUCG
rnacentral:rRNA from 1 species